rnacentral:lncRNA from 1 species
AAACAAGAAGUUUCCCCAUGAUUUCAUUAGUUUUACCAUCUUGUGCCUCAUAAGGUGUUUCAAAGAGAGCACCUUUGAAUGACCGUCUCGCUCGCGGUCACCAUGGUAACUGCUAAAGGGGGGCUCCCGGGUCUCAGCUUCUCCAUUUCCACGAAUCGUCGCAGUUUAAGGGUCGUCGACUGCCGGUCAGACUGUGUGGAGGCAUAAAUGAUGGACAGGGAACUACAUCUGUAUUAACAUCGCAUUUGUAUUAACAAUAAAAUAAAUGUUAGCAGAGCCGAAAGGUAGCAUCUCAGGAAUCUAGACAGCUGGAGUUCCCUGUGGUGCAGUGGGUUAAAGACCCGGUGUUGUCACUGCUGUGGCUCUGGUUGAUACUGUGGCACAGGUUCGAUCCCCGGCCCAGGAACUUCCAUGUGCUGUGGGCACGACCGAAAAAAGAAGAAGAGUCUAGACUCCAAACCAGGGUUCUAGUGCAGAAGCAUCAGCGCCGCCUCAGUGUGAUCCCGUCCCACGGGGGCCGCCGGCCGCCGUGGCCCAGAGGCGUUUCACUACCUCGUCUCUACUACGAGGGGUCCGGGCUGGGACCUCCCAGGACACAGGCUGGGAGCAGGCAGAGCCCCUAGAUGCCAAGCCUGACCGGGCGGCCGAUGGGCACUUUCCAAGGGAUUCCGAGGCCACGCCGGUCCUCCUCUUAGACGGGCGGCCCGUCCCAUGCGCUCGCAGCGGGAGCGGGACGGUUAGAGCCACGGGAGAAGGUGGUCAGGACGACGAGGCCCCCGCAGGCCCGGGAGCCGCCGCCCCGCCGGGGUCUGGACGGGAGAGAAGGUGGGAAGGCGAAGGCUCGGGAGCGCGUGUUUCCCAGCCGGGCCGCGCGUCUGGUUGUCGUGGAGACAGAGCCACAGGGAACAGCACCCUCUCCUCCUUCCAUCCCGAGUCCCUGGGCUGGGGCUCUGCCGGCCGUCCCCACGCAGCUGGGCCUCGACUUCCCUCUCCGCUGUGUCUCCUUGUCCACCUAGAAACGAGCUCACAGGCCUCCUGUCGGACGGAGUCCACCCAGAACCCCCUCCUGACCUCUGGCUGCUGACCUGCGGCUGAAAACUGGCCGAGUCUCCGGGAGCCGCCUCCUCCAUGUCCUCGGUGUCCCCUCCUCCUUCCUUCUGUGACCUUGCCGCCUUCCCUGCCUUCUGGCGACUCUGUUCCUGCUGACCUCCGCCGUGACCGCCCAGGGCUGUGUCCAUCUGCCCGCUGGACUCUUCCAACCGAAGGUCUCCGGCCGGAAACUCAGCACGGACGGAACCCCUCGUCCGCUUUGGUGGCUGAUUCGAAACCGGGUCCGCCCAUUCUUCGACGCUUCUCCUUUCAGGAGGUGGGUCUUCAUCCCCGUCCUGGACAUGGGUCCUGCUAAUGAACCGAACAGGCAGCAAGGACGGUGCGAGGCCUGAGGGUCCUUCGAAGCGUGGCAGCCUCCUCCUUCUCUCUCCCUCCUGGGUCACCUGGUCUGGGGGAGGCCCUGUGCCCUAGUAGAAGGAUAUUCAAGCCACCCCGAGACAGGUUCACUUGGCCAGAACCUCGGGUCUACCAACACCCGGCACUUACGUGCCAGGCAUGUGAGUAAACCCCUUGGAGCCCUGGCCCCAGUCAAGCUGCAGAUGCCACAGCCCCAGCUGGCUUCCCGCUGAACCAGAACAACCCAGCCAAGCCUCUCCUGGAUUCCUGACCCACAGAACCUGCGAGAUGAUACAUGUGGGUUGUUUCAAGCUGCUGAAUUUUGCGGGUCAUGUGUCACACCACAGUAGAUAACCACUGCGCGUGGCAACCCUUUUUCUUUUCGCAGUCUCAGCAAAUUGUUCCCAAACCAAGUAAUACCUCUUUCCUCCCCCAGAUCCAGCUGGUGAUCAAGCCGUCUUAUUUCCAUGUAGGCAUCUGUUGGUUUAGCCUCUCCUGAAUUUCUCUGUCACUCUCUUAUUUUACUCUUUCUCCUCCAGACUGUUUAAGUUGCCUCCUAACAGGUUUCUGGCUUCCAGCUUUACUCCCUUCUAAUCUGUCCUCCACACUGUCGUCAGAGCAGUCGCUCUAAAAUGUGAAUUUGCUUAAAUCGUCCUCACUGACUCAGGCUUAUCAAGUCCAGACGCCUUAGCUCUGCAGGUAAAGCCACUUGAGCUCUGAGCCCUUCUUUUGUUGUUGUUGUUGUUGUCUUUUUGCUAUUUCUUUGGGCCGCUUCUGCAGCAUAUGGCGGUUCCCAGGCUAGGGGUCUAAUCGGAGCUGUAGCCGCUGGCUUACGCCAGAGCCACAGCAACGCAGGAUCCGAGCCGAGUCUGCAACCCACAUCACAGCUCACGGCAACACCGGAUCGUUAACCCACUGAGCAAGGGCAGGGACCGAACCCACAACCUCAGGGUUCCUAGUCAGAUUCGUUAACCACUGCGCCACGACGGGAACUCCCUGAGCCCUUCUUGAUCUGCAGCUCCAUCUCAUGCAGGAGAGAGUUCAGCCAUCACAAAAACACUUCUUUAUAUUGCUUUGCAGCAUUCCGGUAUAGUUUUCAAAUAUGCCAAUGACAGAGGAAAAAGUUCCUUAAUUUGUAAAGAGGACAGUCAGCGACUGGGGAAGGCAGCGUCACGGAGACCAAGCCGCCCAUCGGUUUGGUCCCAUCAGGGUAUCCUAUCGUCUUAGCAUCAACAGUCAUGAUUUCUGGGUAAGAUUCAGUCAUAUUGAUACCAAGCUACUGUUUUUUGAGUCACCCGAAAUCGCAGAAACCCGUUUUCAUCAGCAUCAGUGUCAUGCAGUUUUCCAUGAAAUAGUUUUACCUCAUUCCUCAUUUUAUUUAUUUUUUAAAUAUAUUUUGGCCCUGCCCUCGGCAUGUGGAUGUUCCUGGGCCAAGGAUCGAACCCACACCACAGCAGUGACAACACCAGAUCCUUAACCCGCUGUGCCACCAGGGAACUCCCAUCAUUCCCCAUUAGAAAUACCAUGGGGGAGAAACAAACCCGCAGUGCUGCACGCUGAAGAGACAGGUCAUCCGCGACUACAGCUGAGUUAAAAAUGUUUACCCCUUUCUCAGUCCUGAAUGAAGGUCGGAUUGUGAAUUUAAACCGUCAGCUCUCAUGCCAGGAAAAGACGUGUGAUGUGGCUGGUUGGGUCCUUCCCUCCCUGGCUGCACCUGGGACGGGCCCUGCCCCUGUCUAGAGUCCCGGCUGCUCCACUGUGCACCUCGGCCCUCGACUCUGAGCUCCCACUUAAAAAGCGCAGCUUCGAACCCCGCACCGAAGUCCCCGGCGAUUCCUCUUGCACGUGGCGUGCACGGGAGUUUGCUCAGAGCGCGUGUUCGCAGAGGAAUCUCGCUGACUUCUUGUUCUCUUUCGUCUCUGACCAAGACACACGGAUCGUUAAGUGGUUCGGGUCUGGAAAAUGUCCCUUUCGCGUCUGUCCUGUACUGGUCUUGCCUCUGAGGAGUGCCGCGUGCAAUGAGGCCUCUGCAGUUUCCCUUUGGAGUGUGUCGGGUUUGCACUGAGCAACUUUAUCACAUUGCCCUUGGGGAAGAACUUGGUCGGUUACCAAAGAGGCCACUGUGCUUUGCUUGAAAGGGACCUGGGAGGCAUGCGUGGGGGUUUUGCCACUAUUUUGGGACCUUCAUAAAAGCACUAAAAUGCCCUGGCGUCCGGAGCAAGUGUACCACCGGCCCCCUGACUUCCACUUUUCCAGUGUCCGCUGCUGGGCUUCCUGGGCGCACCCCCUGUUUUCCCUGGCCGUGUGGCACAUCACGCCGCACAGGACACGCGCCCCUCUGGCGCGCAUCUCGGUCCUGUUCCCCAGCGGCCCCACAACUGUUGAGUCAUAUUUAUACUCUCAACAUGACUCUUCUAUUUCCUUGAAGCACUUUGCUGUAUCAAAAUGUCUGAACUGAUAGAAUGCUACAAAAAAAAAAAGACGUGAAAACUGAAUUGUAACAACAAAGAUAAACACACGUAACCCAUGUGAUGACACUAUAUGGUGACAAAACAGUAACCGACUAACCUGGGUGGACCACAUCCUCUUAACCGAAGGCUGGCUGCAGAGAAGUGACCAGCGCAGGUGCACAUUUCAAACUGCUGUGUCGUGGGACAGGAUUUCGGGGGAAGGAAUCAGCUUACAUUUCAGAUGUGUCCGGGGCAGGUGGACAGAACCGUGUCGUUUGUUCCUUUGAGGACCUUUGGAUACAUGCCAGCACCACUUUUCUUUCAUGCUAUUCAGCAGGCUUCUACCAGGUGCCCUCCGCGGGCAGCUCCGUGGGCAGCGAGCAGCAUGGGGCAGAGUUUCUGUCCUCAUGGAGCUGAUGUUUUGUGCCUGUGUGGGUUUCUUUUAUAUCAGAUACAGUGUGUUCUUUGCUGCUUAUUUUCUAUUUCUCCUUUUUCUUACCUAUUAUGUUUCAGAUCAAUAAGCUAUUUUAAGUCUAUGUCCUCGUUUUUGAAGUACUUUGUUCUCCAAUGUAACAAUUGUGGGAUUAAUCAUUGUGCGUAUGGGUUUAGAAAUUCCAUGUUAAAGAUUUCAGAUGUAGGAGUUCCUGUCCUGGUGCCACAGAAACGAAUCCGACUAAGAACCAUGAGGUGGCGGGUUCGAUCCCUGGCCUUGCUCAGCGGGUUAAGGAUCCGGCGUUGCCGGGAGCUGUGGUGUAGGUGGCAGAAGCGGCUCGGAUCCCGCGUGGCUGUGGCUGUGGUGGAGGCCGGCGGCUACAGCUCUGAUUCAACCACUAGCCUGGGACCCUCCAUGUGCGGCCCUAUGAAGACAGAAGACACAAAAACCCUUCCAGGUAUCAGACACGAAGCACAAAGACUCAAACCUGGAAGCCCAGGGAGUGCAGAGCGCAAAGUCCGCCCUCUCCUCCCGCUGCUCCCGGGGCCCGCGGUGCGGUGCGCCAGGAAAAGCCUUGCCGCUGUUUCUUUAUUCAUUUCUCCUCCCGAGGUGCCCUUCCUCGUCUUUGCGCGUGUGCUCCUGUGGGUAUCCCUGUCAAAAUGCGGGCCCACAGCAUCUCAGGGCUUUCGUUCCUGUUUGUUGGAUCCCGGGCAGAGUAAGCAUUUUUCAUGUUUAUCCGUCUUUAGAAUUUUGGUGAAUUGCCUUUUCCUGCCCUUUGCCUUUUUUUCACUGGGACUGUUGUUUCUCCUCGAGUUAAUUCUGGUAAUCUAUGUUUUCCUGGAAAAUGAUCUGUUUUGCCUAGUUUACAAACCCCUACAUAUAAUUAUGUGCUUUUUCUUGUUUCUAAUUUGGAUGCCUUCUUUUUCCCCUUCCUUGAUUAAAUUGGCCAGAAGGUCUAUCUUGCCAGUCCCUUUCAAACAUCAGCUUUGAGGUUUAUGAAUCUUCUGGACCAUUAAAUAUGUCUUCUGUUUCCUUAAUUGCUGCUUUUUCUUUUCUCAUUUCUCCUUCCUUCUCCUUUCUGUGCAGCACGGGAAGCGGGGAGCAGAGGUUCCGAGGUCGUUGCUGGGGUUUGGGAGAGAGAUUGGUAGCAUCCCCCGCCCCCCGCUCCCCUCCCCCACCACCCAUGCAGGCCGUUCAGAUUCAGGAAGAAACAAGUCAGGCCUCCGAGGGCCGUCAGUCGGCCCUGUGAAUGAGGCCGCCCUGAAGAGCAGCGUUUCGAGGCUGAGUUAACGGAGAAAGUCUUAGGAGGAAUGUGUUCUGGAAGGGUCAACAGGAAGCCAGUCAGAGGGAAUAAAUCGGUUGCUGGGGGGCAGUGGGGGCCACGUGCGUGCUCUCUGGGGUUUCAGUCUGCAUAGUUCCCUCCUGGGGCCAAAAUGCAAACAAAGAAACCCGAGUGCUCUGGCGGCUGCUGGGCAGGGCCCAGGGAGGGGCAUCCAGAGAGCCGGUGGGGCGCCUGGUGGAUGGGGGUGAUCUUGGGGUUCAGCCUGGACAGCGAGUCUGUGACACCUGCGGUGGGGGGAAGCUGAGACAGGAAGGGUGCAGGGGCUUCAGCUCCCUGUGACCAAGCAAGCCGGGCUGGGAGGGAGGUGGGCGGGGGACCCCUGAAAGAGGAGCGGCUGGACGUUAGGGAGGGUCUUUCAGGGUCAGAGUGCUGAUGCGGGAGUCAGGUGCAUGGGCGCCUCCCUGAGGAUGACGGGACUCGCGGGGACCAGCGCUGAGUCAUUCCUCUGCUGCUCUGGGGCUCUUGUUCUUUCCCAAAAUUAGUUUAACAUCUGUUUUGAAGCCAAAAGAGUCUCUGCUUUCCUAUUCCUGGCUAAUUAAGCAAAUUCAAACACAUGCAUAGCCUCACUCAGCAUCCGCACACAGCCAGGAAGAGAGGCGCGGUGCGGGUGGCAGGUGUGUGGCUCUCGAGGCAGAGGGUGGUCCCUGCCACGAGGACAGCCGGGAGGGUCUAGCCCUGGAGCUACCUGGCGACACUGACCUCUCCAGGGUUCUUGGCACGUGUGAAUUCAUCAGGCACCAUGGCAGUGCUUUUGAUGAAAUGACAGCAAGAUACGGUAGCUCUGGAGCUGGCAAACCUCUCCCAGCCGAGCACUUACAGAAGGAGCCUGGCCUUUGCGCCUCCCUGGGGCCGGAGAAGCCAAGUGACCCCUGCGUCAGAGGCCGGAGAAAGCCAAGCCUCACUAACCACCCCUCUCCCAGCCUCCCUCUGUAAUCACCCCUCUCCAUGUAAUUUCCUACAGUGAAAUGUUAGGCUUUAGAACCAAAUUAAAAAGUCGUCUAAAGAGAUGGUUUGGUUAACAUGAAAGUCAAGGGCCUCUUAGGAGGAAUGAGUGUUUGGAGUCAGGCUUUACCGAUGUUUGCAGAGAAGAGCAGGGCGCUCCUACACGUCGGCUUCCGUCGGGGAGCGUCUGUGGCAGGUUAGCCUGAUUAGGGGCGCCGAGGCCUCGGGUAAACAGUUUCUGUUUAUGCCAGGGUUCCCACAGCAGAACUGGCACGGAUGCUGGCUAGGUGAAGCGUAGAGACCCAGGGAGAUGUUUUGUUGCACCUUGCCCGGGGGCGGGGGCCCCUCUUUGGGUGUCGUCCCAGACCCCCGGGGGCAGCUCCCGGCUCUGACGCACGGAUCCGAGGACCCCACAGUCCUGACGGUCUUUGCCAAAACGCGUCAAGCAUCGGUUUAAGUCCCAUGCAGCAUCGCUGUCGUCUUUGGGCUUCGUCCUAGUUAUUUUUAGGGCUGAUGCAUUUCUUUUCCAAGAGCCAAACAGAACAUUUUCAGGCUUUGAUUUUCGGCUGAGGUUUAGUAAAUUCUGUUCUGUGGAGAGCUGGCAGGUUCCCGCGGAGGCGCUUAUGCGCUUUGCUGGCACCGAGGUUUCCUGCCGCGCUGGUUUGGACUCACAGUUCCAUCCCGGGAGUGGGGCCGCCCUCGGGCCACGCAGACUCCGUGCCAACGGUCCCCUGGCCGUGGCAGUGCAGUCCGUCACUCCCCCUGUUUGGAGGGAAUCCAGGCGGAGGGGCUCUCGGUCCCUGCAGAGGAACCUGUCCAGGGUUUACUUGUUUCCACAAUUGAGAAAGCCUUGGAGUUCCCUGGCGGCUUAGCAGUUAAGGACCUGGCAUUGUCGCUGUUGUGGAUCAGGUUCGAUCUCUGACCUGGGAACUUGUGCAUGCAAAAAAAAAAAAAAAAAGAAAAAA